CACGUAUUUUGGUUUAACGUUAACGUGCAUAGAAGGACCAAUCUCAUCUCUUCAAUUCUGUUUAUUCAAAAAUCUGAAGAUGUAAUGACUUAUUAGGCUAUGAUUCAUUAAACCAAGUAUACUUACUGGUAUGUGUGCAUAAUAGACAUUUACCAAAAUAAGGUUUUGUUCUGCUCAAGUCUCAACAAUUUGUUUAUUUUGAUGGUUU
rnacentral:lncRNA from 1 species